rnacentral:rRNA from 1 species
GACGAACGCUGGCGGCGUGCUUAACACAUGCAAGUCGAGCGAUGAAGCACCUUCGGGUGUGAAUUAGCGGCGAACGGGUGAGGAACACGUGAGAAAUCUGCCUUCAACACUGGGAUAACUCCGGGAAACCGGGGCUAAUACCGGAUAUGAAACCUGCGGGCAUCCGCGGGUUUGGAAAGUAUUUCGGUUGAAGAUGAUCUCGCGGCCUAUCAGCUUGUUGGUGAGGUAAUGGCUCACCAAGGCGACGACGGGUAGCAGGCCUGAGAGGGCGACCGGCCACACUGGGACUGGGACACGGCCCAGACUCCUACGGGAGGCAGCAGUGGGGAAUAUUGGGCAAUGGAGGAAACUCUGACCCAGCGACGCCGCGUGCGGGAUGAAGGCCUUCGGGUUGUAAACCGCUUUCAGCAGGGAAGAAGCGAAAGUGACGGUACCUGCAGAAGAAGCACCGGCUAACUAUGUGCCAGCCGCCGCCGUAA